GACGAACGCUGGCGGCGUGCCUAAUACAUGCAAGUCGAACGCUUUUUCUUUCACCGGAGCUUGCUCCACCGAAAGAAAAAGAGUGGCGAACGGGUGAGUAACACGUGGGUAACCUGCCCAUCAGAAGGGGAUAACACUUGGAAACAGGUGCUAAUACCGUAUAACACUAUUUUCCGCAUGGAAGAAAGUUGAAAGGCGCUUUUGCGUCACUGAUGGAUGGACCCGCGGUGCAUUAGCUAGUUGGUGAGGUAACGGCUCACCAAGGCAACGUUGCAUAGCCGACCUGAGAGGGUGAUCGGCCACACUGGGACUGAGACCCGGCCCAGACUCCUACGGGAGGCAGCAGUAGGGAAUCUUCGGCAAUGGACGAAAGUCUGACCGAGCAACGCCGCGUGAGUGAAGUAGGUUUUCGGAUCGUAAAACUCUGUUGUUAGAGAAGAACAAGGAUGAGAGUAGAACGUUCAUCCCUUGACGGUAUCUAACCAGAAAGCCACGGCUAACUACGUGCCAGCAGCCGCCGUAA
rnacentral:rRNA from 1 species